rnacentral:lncRNA from 1 species
UUUUAUCCUCUUUCACCAUUCAAACAUAUGUUUUGAACCGUUAGAUCCGCUUGAUCCACACUUGUACCACUCGAUACGCUUGAUUCACUCUUAUUCUACUCGAUCCGCUAGAUCCGCUAGAACCGCAACGCUUGAUCCUCUUUCUCCAUUCGGAGCUAGAUCCGGUAGAACCGCAACGCUUGAUCCGCUUUCUCCAUUCGGAGCCUAAUGGCUCGUUGUGACACUAUCUACAGUUUUAUACAUAUAUACAUACAUAUAUGUUGAUUUUAACAAAAAAUACAAUUACUAAAAAAAAAACCAUGUCUCCCAUCAGCAUAUUAAUCAAUUACCGAUAUUGAAUCAAGA